GCCCGGUUAGCUCAAUCGGUAGAGCGUGAGACUCUUAUACGAGUUCACCAUCUCAAGGUUGCGGGUUCGACCCCCGCAUCGGGCU
rnacentral:tRNA from 1 species